CUACGGGGUGCUCCAGUGAGGAAUUUUGCGCAAUGGGGGAAACCCUGACGCAGCAACGCCGCGUGAGCGAAGAAGGCCUUCGGGUCGUAAAGCUCUGUCAAGUGGGAAAAAAAUUCUUUGAUGAACAGUCAAAGGACUUGAUGGUACCACUGGAGGAAGCACCGGCUAACUCCGUGCCAGCAGCCGCGGUAAUACGGAGGGUGCAAGCGUUGUUCGGAAUUACUGGGCGUAAAGAGCGUGUAGGCGGUUUGACAAGUCAGAUGUGAAAGCCCCGGGCUCAACCCGGGAAGUGCAUUUGAACUGUUUCACUAGAGUAUGGGAGAGGAGAUUGGAAUUCCUGGUGUAGAGGUGAAAUUCGUAGAUAUCAGGAGGAACACCCGUGGCGAAGGCGAUUCUCUGGACCAAUACUGACGCUGAGACGCGAAAGCGUGGGGAGCAAACAGGAUUAGAUACCCCCGUAGUC
rnacentral:rRNA from 1 species